GUCGGCCAGUUCGGCGGCGCCGGGCGCGUCGGGGCCGCGCCGGCCGGCCAGCAGCAGGUGCCGUACGCCGUGUUCGGCGACGAGGUGGCGGGCG
rnacentral:tRNA from 1 species